rnacentral:ncRNA from 2 species
AACUGAAUGCUGGGGGGCCGGAUGGAAUCCGGCUGAGAGUUAGGCUGUUCUGCCUAUGACCCAUGGAACCUGUUGGGUAAUGCCAUCGUAGGGAGCGCGGUUCACGCCGUU